GUCAGAGGGGCUGGCAGCCGAAGGAGGAGCGGUUGCGUUCUGCUGAGCCGCUGAGGGAUCAGGCUUGCCGGAGGAGGGGCGCGCAGGGCACUGCAUCUCCGAAGCCCCUGAACACCAUGGAGGUGGUUUACCUUUGGAUCUGAGCAGCCACUCACUGGGCAGCACCUUAGCUGCUGUAUUCACCAUGCUGAGGGAGGCUGUGGGCAUCCUGCCCAGAGAAGCAGGAUGCCCAGGACCAUGCCUACCUUCACCAAGGAUGUGGUGGGAACAUGAAACCUGAGACUUCCAGAAGAUUCUGGCCACCAACUGGUGCCUCACGCAGAAACUCCACAGGUCCUGCCAGCACUGGACCCUUGCUCUUUCUCCUUGUAGCUUUGCCUUGGCUGCAUCUGCACCAGUUCUCUGGUCCCUGGGAGAUCCUUUGGAGGCCUGGCUGUCCCUGUGCUCUGCAAGAGCAGACAAGAUGUGGGUCUUGUUGGGCCCCAGACAGGCCGGAACCUCUGCUUGAAGGAGGAGACUGGAGUCUCUCCAUUCAAUUUAGGAAUUCUGUGAACAAAUUACUGGAGACAGCUUGUCUCUUUUUGUGACCAGGAGAACUUUCAGCAGGAAAUUCAGCCUAGUCCUGGGGGCUACAGCCUCUGACUUAAGAAUUUAGUUUCAAAGGGGAUGAUAUUUCCCAAGCAUCAGUGUGUCAGACACAAGGCCAGGACAGAAUAAUGAGCAUGGUGAGAGUUGAGGAAAAGCUGAGAUGCCCUCCGACAGGCAGGCCCCAAGGAAGGCUGCCUGAAGGAAGUAGCCCGUCAGCCCUGCAGGCUAUGGAGGUGCUCAAGAGUGGCAGAGCACUGGGUUUGUCUUUCAGAUUUCUGAUUUCCACAGCAAAUUCUUAUAGCAACUUGAUCCCUGAGAUCUCCUGCCCUCUAAACGUGGAAGGGAAAAGGGCAUGGGAAGCAGCUUCUCCCUGGAGGGAGCUGGGCUGUGUCGGAAGGGUUCAGCGAUGCUGUCUUCUGUGGCUCUGCUGACCUCUCCUCCUUACCCACUGGAUACAGAGCUUGUGCCUUCUGGACCGUGACCCUGAGAGGCUUCCUGGCAGCAGCUUCCUCAGAACUGGAGGUCUAUGUUGACUCUGUCCCAUCCAGUUAUGCUCCCUACUGUCCUGUGGUGGAGGCGCCAGUGGGGCAGUACCAGAGCAAAAGUGGGAUAUGACACCCACGCGCAGAAACCCUGCAGGGGUUCAUCCUGGGUGAGAAAAUCAGCCAGAGAUGUCUGUUGCUGUGUAACAAACUACCCCACAAUUUAGCAGCUUAAACAUACUACAGGGUCGAUGGUUUAGGAAUCCAAAUGGUUAGUGGUGUCUCUGCCUGGUGGUUGUCUCACUCACAGGCUACAGUCUGAGUGUGCUCUGGCCAUGGUCUCUCAUGUGAAGGCCCAGUUAAGAGAAGAUGCUGUCACUCUCAAGUACAGUUGACAAGAUUCAGUUCCUUUCCAGAAAACCCACAAAGGGUCUUAUUUUCUGCUUUUUGGCUGGAGGCCUCACUGAGUUCUUUGCAUGGGCCUAUCCACAGUGCAUCUCCCAAUAUGACAGUGUCUCCCACCUGGGAGCAAGAGAGCAAAGAAUGAGUGCAAAUGAGGAAAGUGGGUUCUGUCAUCCAUCCGAUUUCAUAAGGGAAAUUCUGGAUGUUUUGAGUUGAAGGCCAUACUAAAAGGGAGCAGAUCCACACUGGAGUACAUACACCAGGAAGGGGAACACUGAGGACUACCUCAUGGGUCAUCUCCACAGCCUGCCACGACACCACCCAAACCCUGUCAGUGUCCUCACCAGGGCACGCUACUGUGUUCAGCAUCUUGUUAUGCUAGUGUGUCACUUUUUUAAAAACACUGUAAUACCCCAAGAUAUACCCAGGGAGUCAGAGGUACAUGCUUGUCAGAGCUGCCUCUGGUAUCUGUUGACCCCUUUUUAAGGCAGCUGGUCCCCUUGAAUUUCCCUGAGUGGCAUAGGGCCAUCUAAAGCUGGGUUGUUAGGCUGUCAUUCAAAGAACAAGCUUGGGCCUUGCUCUGAAGUUGAUACUUCAGAGAUCCCUUAGACUGGGAAAAAUGAGGGCUAAGCAUGUAGAGAAGUCAGCCUGUGUCCUUGCCUGUAUGUGACCCACAGGGGUCACAUAGAUAAGGCUUGAAGAGCAUCAGAGCCCAUAUCUUGGGAGAACACGUCUUCAUCCUUCUAGAGAAGAUCAAGCUUACCCAUCUCUCUGUGGGUCCCUCAGAGCUCCCUAAGGCUUUGAUGAAGUUGGAACUCUCUCUGCACCAGCCCUAAAGCCACCAGUUCUGCAACAGGGUGUUCCAUCAUUCCAUGGCAAUCUCUGGUGACUUUGUGUGUGUGUUUUAAGAAUUUCCCUGCUCAGGGUCCAUGAAGAGCUGGCACUUUUGGUUAUUUUGUCUAUAGAAGUAAAUAAACUCAAUCUUACAAAGCCUGUAUGUACUGGAGAUGAAACCUGUGUUACAUACGAGAAACAGUAUCCACUCCUUCCUAAAGCUCAUCUCUUUACUGGUG